rnacentral:lncRNA from 1 species
CGUGGUGUGUUUUUGACUUCAUUGAUCGUGGUGCUCCCCCCAACUUGGCUAAUUAUCUUUCUCAAAAAUUUCUACAAAAUAAAAAAAAUGGAUAACUAAAAAAUAAAAUAUUCACUACAAGAUAUUUAAUUUUUUGCAACAAAAUUUUUUCGAUGCUAAAAAUUAUAUUUUCAUUACUAAAAGUAUUUACGACAAAAACUUCC